GAUGAACGCUGGCGGCGUGCCUAAUACAUGCAAGUCGAGCGAACGGACGAGUAGCUUGCUUCUCUGAUGUUAGCGGCGGACGGGUGAGUAACACGUGGAUAACCUACCUAUAAGACUGGGAUAACUUCGGGAAACCGGAGCUAAUACCGGAUAAUAUUUUGAACCGCAUGGUUCAAUAGUGAAAGACGGUCUUGCUGUCACUUAUAGAUGGAUCCGCGCUGCAUUAGCUAGUGGGUAAGGUAACGGCUUACCAAGGCAACGAUGCAUAGCCGACCUGAGAGAGGGAUAGGCCACACUGGAACUGAGACACGGUCCAGACUCCUACGGGAGGCAGGAGUAGGGAAUCUUCCGCGAUGGGCGAAAGCCUGACGGAGCAACGCGGCGUGAGUGAUGAAGGUCUUCGGAUCGUAAAACUCUGUUAUUAGGGAAGAACAAAUGUGUAAGUAACUGUGCACAUCUUGACGGUACCUAAUCAGAAAGCCACGGCUAACUACGUG
rnacentral:rRNA from 1 species